AUUGAACGCUGGCGGCAGGCCUAACACAUGCAAGUCGAGCGGAUGAAGGGAGCCUGCUCCUGGAUUCAGCGGCGGACGGGUGAGUAAUGCCUAGGAAUCUGCCUGGUAGUGGGGGAUAACGUCCGGAAACGGGCGCUAAUACCGCAUACGUCCUGAGGGAGAAAGUGGGGGAUCUUCGGACCUCACGCUAUCAGAUGAGCCUAGGUCGGAUUAGCUAGUUGGUGGGGUAAAGGCCUACCAAGGCGACGAUCCGUAGCUGGUCUGAGAGGAUGAUCAGUCACACUGGAACUGAGACACGGUCCAGACUCCUACGGGAGGCAGCAGUGGGGAAUAUUGGACAAUGGGCGAAAGCCUGAUCCAGCCAUGCCGCGUGUGUGAAGAAGGUCUUCGGAUUGUAAAGCACUUUAAGUUGGGAGGAAGGGCAGUAAGUUAAUACCUUGCUGUUUUGACGGUACCAACAGAAUAAGCACCGGCUAACUUCGUG
rnacentral:rRNA from 1 species